AAAUGAAUAGACGGGAGCCCGCACAAGCAGUGGAGUAUGUGGUUUAAUUCGACGCAACGCGAAAAACCUUACCAAGGAUUGACAUCCCGGGAAGACGGCGUAAUGGCUGUUGUGCCCCUUCGGGGGAAUCCGGUGACAGGUGGUGCAUGGUUGUCGUCAGCUCGUGUCGUGAGAUGUUGGGUUAAGUCCCGCAACGAGCGCAACCCUUACUGUUAGUUGCUACGCAAGAGCACUCUGGCAGGACUGCCGUUGACAAAACGGAGGAAGGUGGGGACGACGUCAAAUCAUCAUGCCCCUUAUAUCUUGGGCUACACACGUACUACAAUGGCGCAAACAAAGGGAAGCGACCCCGCGAGGGUGAGCAAAUCCCAUAAAAGGCGUCCCAGUUCGGACUGCAGGCUGCAACUCGCCUGCACGAAGUUGGAAUUGCUAGUAAUCGCGAAUCAGCAUGUCGCGGUGAAUACGUUCCCGGGCUUUGUACACACCGCCCGU
rnacentral:rRNA from 1 species